AGUCGAGCGGUAACAUUUCUAGCUUGCUAGAAGAUGACGAGCGGCGGACGCGGUGAGUAAUGCUUGGGAAUAUGCCUUAUGGUGGGGGACAACAGUUGGAAACGACUGCUAAUACCGCAUAAUGUCUACGGACCAAAGGGGGGGAUCUUCGGACCUCUCGCCAUUUGAUUAGCCCAAGUGAGAUUAGCUAGUUGGUGAGGUAAUGGCUCACCAAGGCGACGAUCUCUAGCUGGUUUGAGAGGAUGAUCAGCCACACUGGGACUGAGACACGGCCCAGACUCCUACGGGAGGCAGCAGUGGGGAAUAUUGCACAAUGGGCGCAAGCCUGAUGCAGCCAUGCCGCGUGUGUGAAGAAGGCCUUCGGGUUGUAAAGCACUUUCAGUAAGGAGGAAAGGGAUGUAGUUAAUAACUGCAUUCUGUGACGUUACUUACAGAAGAAGCACCGGCUAACUUCGUGCCAGCAGCCGCGGUAAUACGAGGGGUGCAAGCGUUAAUCGGAAUUACUGGGCGUAAAGCGUUCGUAGGCGGUUGAUUAAGCAAGAUGUGAAAGCCCAGGGCUCAACCUUGGAACUGCAUUUUGAACUGGUCAACUAGAGUACUGUAGAGGGUGGUGGAAUUUCCA
rnacentral:rRNA from 1 species